CUGCUGCGGGCAGAUGAAAUGGAUGUGGCUGUCGAAGCCGCCGGCGGUCAGGAUCUUGCCCUCGCCCGCGAUGGCCUCGGUCCCGGGGCCGACGACGAUGUCGACGCCCGGCUGCACGUCCGGGUUGCCGGCCUUGCCGAUCUUCGCGAUGCGGCCGUCCUUCAGCCCGACGUCGGCCUUGUAGAUGCCGGUGGCGUCCACGAUCAGCGCGUUGGUGAUCACGGUGUCGACGGCGCCCUCGGCGCGGGUGGCCUGCGCCUGUCCCAUGCCGUCGCG
rnacentral:sRNA from 1 species